AGCAAAUAUUUAUUUCCCACAUAUUUUCCCUUUUCUUUCAGGCUCCAGUUUUGAAACCUGCGGAUUCCCCCGCUCAAACAUUGCUUGACUGCCAUGAAUUGGGUCGGUUUGUUUUCCUCUGGUUUCUCGAGCUGCUUCUUACAAACGCCUUGCAGCAGGGCAGGGGGGGAGACGGGGGGAAGGGAAACCAGCUCUAUGGGGCAGCGCUGUUUUACAUGCGGGUUAGACACGGCUAGAGGCCAAGGUCAAGUUGAAUGUUGCAGUCUAGCCAAUGUGAGAACUGUCAUUUGCAGCCUGAAGACCC
rnacentral:sRNA from 1 species